AUAUUCAUGGUUUCACUUUCUCAAUUUCAGUUACCAGUGGUCAGCCGCAGUCCGAAAAUAUUAAAUGGAAAAUUCCAGAAAUGAACAAUUCAUAAGUUUAAAUUGCACACCAUUCUGAGUAGUAAUAUGAAAUCAUGCACCAUCCUGCUUUGUGCUGCCUGGGAUGUGAAUUACACCCCAUCAGAAGAAAGAAGAAGGACAUGGACUGGAAGACUGUGAAGCCCUGGGAGUGGUGGAGCCAAUAACGGGAAACAUCUCAGGUCCCUGAAUGCCUUGGUGAUGCAGAACCCACUGCCGGCCACAUUGAUCUGUGAUAAGUCUUUUGGAAUGAGAUGAUUCUGUAGAAUGCCAUUCAUGGAAACGCCAUGCUCAAGGCUUCCUAGAGAAAAGCAAAGAGCAAAGGAACUACAGAGGAGACAAGAAAAGCACUGCUGGAGAGGAAGGAGGUUUUCUUCUGAGAUUGUGAGAUAAAACUAAGGAUGGAGGCAGAACAUUCCAGAAAAGGAAUCAUCCAUCCAGAUGGAUGGGGCCAGAAAACCAUGUUGGGAUCAUAGAAGGUGGAUUCUCACCAUUCAGAAGAUGGAAAGCUUCUGAAUCACUCAAAGUAGCUUCAUUCAGAAGUGUGGGCAGACGGUCGGCAUCGUAUGAUCAAAAAGAAGGAGAUCCACACUCCAACAGUCCUCAGUUGCCAUGUGAACUGCCUUUCUUAGCCAACUUCUGUGCAUUAGUAACAUCUGAGAAAGGACAUUUACCCAGCCACCAGCGCCUGAGAUAACCAUCAGCUAGACUGGAACCUCUCCAUAUGAAGAUACGCAUAUGCCUGGGAGACCCCUGAAUUUACCAAUAGACUCUUCAGUGAAUCAGUCAAUACCAGCAAGGACCACUUACUGAAUAUUCACAUGUGCUGGCCUUUCUUACCUCAUUUCAUUCUCAUCAUAAGUCUGCAAGGAAGGCAUUCUUAUCCCACUUUUCAGACGGGCAAGAUAA